rnacentral:rRNA from 1 species
UACGGAGGGAGCUAGCGUUGUUCGGAAUUACUGGGCGUAAAGCGCACGUAGGCGGCUUUGUAAGUCAGAGGUGAAAGCCCGGGGCUCAACUCCGGAAUUGCCUUUAAGACUGCAUCGCUAGAAUUGUGGAGAGGUAAGUGGAAUUCCGAGUGUAGAGGUGAAAUUCGUGAGAUAUUCGGAAGAACACCAGUGGCGAAGGCGACUUACUGGACACAUAUUGACGCUGAGGUGGCGAAAGCGUGGGAGCAACAGG